rnacentral:ncRNA from 1 species
UAGUAUAUAAAGCAACGGAAAUAGUAAAUUUAAAAAGAAUUUCAGAAAGUACGUGGUUAAUGUGAACGUAUAACUUUUUAAAUUGAACUCAUCCAUUUAAUUUAACUGCUGAAUUUAGUAGGUGGUUACGAAUCGUCCGCGUUAAGGAUUUUGAGAGUCACUUCUUUGUGGAGUGGAACUUAGGUGGUAACGCGAUAAUUCGUCCUAUGA